UUUGAUGAUGAAUUGUUAUUUGGAAUUGUGAGUGAAAUAAACCCUUUCCUCCCCAAGUUGCUUUGGUCAUGGUGUUUUAUCACAGCAGUAGUCACCCUGACUAAGACACACCUGUGCGUAGCUCUGGG